rnacentral:rRNA from 1 species
UAAUUGAAGAGUUUGAUCAUGGCUCAGAUUGAACGCUGGCGGCAGGCCUAACACAUGCAAGUCGGGCGGUAACAGGGAGAAGCUUGCUUCUCUGCUGACGAGCGGCGGACGGGUGAGUAAUGUAUGGGGAUCUGCCUGAUGGCGGGGGAUAACUACUGGAAACGGUAGCUAAUACCGCAUAAUGUCUUCGGACCAAAGCGGGGGACCUCCGGGCCUCGCGCCAUCAGAUGAACCCAUAUGGGAUUAGCUAGUAGGUGAGGUAACGGCUUACCUAGGCGACGAUCCCUAGCUGGUCUGAGAGGAUGAUCAGCCACACUGGGACUGAGACACGGCCCAGACUCCUACGGGAGGCAGCAGUGGGGAAUAUUGCACAAUGGGCGCAAGCCUGAUGCAGCCAUGCCGCGUGUAUGAAGAAGGCCUUCGGGUUGUAAAGUACUUUCAGUCGGGAGGAAGGUGUCAAGGUUAAUAACCUUGGCAAUUGACGUUACCGACAGAAGAAGCACCGGCUAACUCCGUGCCAGCAGCCGCGGUAAUACGGAGGGUGCAAGCGUU